rnacentral:rRNA from 1 species
GACAGAGGUGCCAAGCGUUAGGCGGAAUUACUGGGCGUAAAGCGUGCGCAGGCGGUUAUGUAAGACAGUUGUGAAAUCCCCGGGCUCAACCUGGGAACUGCAUCUGUGACUGCAUAGCUAGAGUACGGUAGAGGGGGAUGGAAUUCCGCGUGUAGCAGUGAAAUGCGUAGAUAUGCGGAGGAACACCGAUGGCGAAGGCAAUCCCCUGGACCUGUACUGACGCUCAUGCACGAAAGCGUGGGGAGCAAACAGG